CCCCUAUGUUCUAUUUUUAGCCAUGGCGGCCAUCUUGGUUGGUUGGGCGGGGCAUCGGACACAUUUUUUAAACAAGAUACCCCAAUGAUGAUUAUGGCCAAGUUUGGUUAAAUUUGGCCUAGUAGUUUCAGAGUAGAAGAUUUUUCUAAUGAUUAAGAUUUACGAAAAAUGGUUAAAAAUUGACUAUAAAGGGCAAUAACUCCUUAAGUGGUCUUAUUUGUAGAUCUUACUUUGCUGAACAUUAUUGCUGUUUACAGUUUAUCUCUAUCUAUAAUAAUAUUCAAGAUAAUACCAAAAACAGCAAAUUUCUUUAAAAUUACCAUUCAGGGGCAGCAACCGAACAACAGAAUGUCCGAUUCAUCUGAAAAUUUCAGGGCAGAUAGAUCUUGACCUGAUCAACAAUUUUACCGCGUGUCAGAUUUGCUCUAAAUGCUUUGGUUUUUGAGUUAUAAGCCAAAAACUGCAAUUUCCCCCCAUGUUUUAUUUUUAGCCAUGGCGGCCAUCUUGGUUAGUUGGCCGAGUUACCGGACACAUUUUUUUAACUAGAUACGGUCAUACCCCAAUGAUGAUUAUGGCCAAGUUUGGUUAAAUUUGGUCCAGUAGUUUCAGAGGAGAAGAUUUUUCUAAAAGAUUACUAAGAUUUACGAAAAAUGGUUAAAAAUUGACUAUAAAGGGCAAUUACUCCUAAAGUGGUCACUUGACCAUUUUGGUCAUGUUGACUUAUUUGUAGAUCUUACUGUGCUGAACAUUAUUGCUGUUUACAGUUUAUCUCUAUCUAUAAUAAUAUUCAAGAUAAUAACCAAAAACAGAAAAAUUUCCUUAAAAUUACCAUUUCAGGGGCAGCAACCCAACAACGAAAUGUCAGAUUCAUCUGAAAAUUCCAGGGCAGAUAGAUCGUGACCUGAUCAACAAUUUUACUUCCUGUCAGAUUUGCUCUAAAUGCUUUGGUUUUCGAGUUAUAAGCCAAAAACUGCAUUUUACCCCUAUGUUCUAUUUUUAGCCAUGGUGGCCAUCUUGGUUGGUUGGCCAGGUCACCGGACACAUUUUUUAAACUAGAUACCCCAAUGAUGAUUAUGGCCAAGUUUGGUUAAAUUUGGCCCAGUAGUUUCAGAGGAGAAGAUUUUUCUAAAAGAUUACUAAGAUUUAUGAAAAAUGGUAAAAAAAGGACUUUAAAGGGCAAUAACUCCUAAAGUGGUCAACUGACCAUUUUGGUCAUGUUGACUUAUUUGUAGAUCUUACUUUGCUGAACAUGAUUGCUGUUUACAGUUCAUCUCUAUCUUUAACAAUAUUCAAGAUAAUAACCAAAAACAGCAAAAUUUCCUUAAAAUUACCAUUUCAGGGGCAGCAACCCAACAACGGAAUGUCCGAUUCAUCUGAAAAUUUCAGGGCAGAUAGAUCUUGACCUGAUCAACAAUUUUACCGCGUGUCAGAUUUGCUCUAAAUGCUUUGGUUUUUGAGUUAUAAGCCAAAAACUGCAUUUUACCCCUAUGUUCUAUUUAUAGCCAUGGCGGCCAUCUUGGUUGGUUGGGCGGGGCAUCAGACACAUUUUUUAAACAAGAUACCCCAAUGAUGAUUAUGGCCAAGUUUGGUUAAAUUUGGCCUAGUAGUUUCAGAGUAGAAGAUUUUUCUAAUGAUUAAGAUUUACGAAAAAUGGUUAAAAAUUGACUAUAAAGGGCAAUAACUCCUUAAGUGGUCUUAUUUGUAGAUCUUACUUUGCUGAACAUUAUUGCUGUUUACAGUUUAUCUCUAUCUAUAAUAAUAUUCAAGAUAAUAACCAAAAACAGCAAAAUUUCUUUAAAAUUACCAUUUCAGGGGCAGCAACCGAACAACAGAAUGUCCG
rnacentral:lncRNA from 1 species